CUACCCUAACGCAAAAGCCCAUUGGCUAGAAUUGCUUAAAUGUCCCAUACAAAUAUAAACACCUCGAUAGUGCUGGGAAGAUUAAAGGAACAGCUUAUUGAUAUUGUAUAUGCUCUUGUUUGGAUGUGUGACGGGGAAGACAGCAUUUAACUGCUGGUAUGCAAUGCUGAACCUGGACUGCAUGAAGAGGUUUUCGUUCACUGAUGUUGGAUGUGUGCCCAGACUGCCAUAGUAGAAUUUAGGGAAAACACAGAAAGGAGGAGAGACACAGAAUGGUUUUUGGGAACAUCCAUGUGGGGCAGAAGAAUAAAUACAUGUGAAGACCAUGUUUCCAGAAAUGAAAUGACUGGCCACUGGGCAACAGUUAUGAGUCCCCCAAAUCCCUUCCUGGUCCUCUCCAUUUGCACUUGAAGGAUGGGCUGGGAAUAUAUCCUUGGAGAGGAAGGUACGUGUAGGGCCAAGGAAGAAGCAAUAUGUGCAAUGCUUGGGACAGGAGAAUAAGAAGGAUGGUUGAAGCCAGAGAUUAUGUGGAAGGUAAGAACAAAGUAAAAAUACUUCUGUUUUGAAAUGGUGGGAUGUAUUUAUGAAUGGGAAGCAUAGUCAUAUUAAUUGAAAUGUUAAAGACCACACCACAGAAUUUAGACUGGCUGACACAGGCCAUAGAGCAUUUGUAUAUGCCUGCCUAAGAAAUGGACAUCCCACGAGUGGUGUUUCUGAUGGUGCACCCUACAUAUCUAUCUCAAUGAAACCAGAUCAGAAUUGCUUCUGCACUGUGUAAUCAAAACUCACAGGACAUAAACCGGCAUUGUCAUUCUUUGAGCACUUCUUUAACAAAAGUCUUCUGCCUUUACAGAUUUUUGAGCUUGUAGGGUUACUUCUAUUCACAGUGAAGACCCACAAACUUCUUUCUGUGGAUACAAAUCAAUACUUAGGUCUCUGAGAAUUUCAUGUAGGUUGGUGGCUUUGUGACCAGAAGGUGAGAGAAUAGCUUGAUCCUGCAUCCUCACCCCAGGCAGAUCCCCCACUGACAGCCACAGGGUUAUGGUCUAUGUCAAGGCUCUCUGAUCAGGCACUAAGAUUACUUUUCAAGCAUUAAUCUCUGUGAAGCGAGGCGCGCUGUUCAAAGCGAUGUCACUUCCGUGCCAUUCUCUCCAACUAAAGAGGAAGACAUUUUUGCAAGAUAUAUUUUUGCCAGCUCAUCCAUCAGAGAAUAUUUAUUUGUUCAUUAAUUUCUUUUAUGAACAUUGUACAAGUUACACAGUACAGUACCUCCUGAUCAUUUAUUGCCCAGAUUUAUACGCCAUGACUUGAUAGAAAGUGCAGCUCCAGAAUGGAGCUCUCUCAUUCUCUGUGUAAGCAGUUGUGCUGCGAUUUACAGGAUAAAGACAUUCUUUUUAGACACUGUAAUUAGCACUUGCCUUAUUUAUACGUCUCCCUUAACAUUGUGUCCCCUUUAAAAAUAUUUUUAUUUAAGAUGGCAUGCAAGGAAACAGCUCGGCAUGCGUUAGGAAAAAAAAGAAGAAGAAACAAACCACUGAUAAAUCCAUCUGUUAAAAACCACAGUACACAAAUUAAAAGAGUAAGUUAACAUUACAUGUCCUAAUCUCCUAGCACCAUUGUUCGUGCUUACUGUUUCUUGCAGAAUAUUCAAAAGCUAUUUUUUCCAGCAGACCAACUCCUUUUAGUUACACCCCGGAAAUGCUUUGCUUGUUUUAAAUAGGUCCAUUAUGCUCUCAGACACCUACAUAUUUAGUAUGUCCAGCCUUAGUCAAGUGAGUGGUCUAUACGGUUUUCCUCCUCUAUUAUUUACUUUGUCUUCUCCAACUACCCUUUCAAACAAUUCAUGGUUAUCAAAAUUCCUCACCAAAGUUUCCCUGCUAAAUGCAGACGGUGGUUCUGCCUCUAGCAGAGCAAGAUGCAGUAACUCAACAGUCCAAAGAUCUCUUUUCUUAAUUUUUUAAUGUUUCCCUUUCUCCCUCCCUUGUGAGACAGGUGAGAAAAGCAAUUGCCCCCACUGCUUAAUGCGUCCCAACUCAGAAACUCACUCCAGCCUUGUAAUUUUGAAUCCCAACCCAGCUGGCAG
rnacentral:lncRNA from 1 species